UACGGAGGGUGCAAGCGUUAUCCGGAAUUAUUGGGCGUAAAGAGCUCGUAGGCGGUGUGUCACGUCGGCCGUGAAAACCUGCAGCUUAACUGUGGGCGUGCGGUCGAUACGGGCAUCACUGGAGUUCGGCAGGGGAGACUGGAAUUCCUGGUGUAGCGGUGAAAUGCGCAGAUAUCAGGAGGAACACCGGUGGCGAAGGCGGGUCUCUGGGCCGAUACUGACGCUGAGGAGCGAAAGCGUGGGGAGCAAACAGG
rnacentral:rRNA from 1 species